rnacentral:rRNA from 1 species
AGCAUUAUACCGUGAAACUGCGAAUGGCUCAUUAAAUCAGUUAUCGUUUAUUUGAUAGUACCUUACUACUUGGAUAACCGUGGUAAUUCUAGAGCUAAUACAUGCUAAAAACCCUGACUUCGGAAGGGGUGUAUUUAUUAGAUAAAAAACCAAUGCCCUUCGGGGCUCUUUGGUGAUUCAUGAUAACUUCUCAGAUCGCAUGGCCUUGCGCCGGCGACGGUUCAUUCAAAUUUCUGCCCUAUCAACUUUCGAUGGUAAGGUAUUGGCUUACCAUGGUUUCAACGGGUAACGGGGAAUUAGGGUUCGAUUCCGGAGAGGGAGCCUGAGAAACGGCUACCACAUCCAAGGAAGGCAGCAGGCGCGCAAAUUACCCAAUCCCGACACGGGGAGGUAGUGACAAUAAAUACUGAUACAGGGCUCUUUUGGGUCUUGUAAUUGGAAUGAGUACAAUUUAAACCUCUUAACGAGGAACAAUUGGAGGGCAAGUCUGGUGCCAGCAGCCGCGGUAAUUCCAGCUCCAAUAGCGUAUAUUAAAGUUGUUGCAGUUAAAAAGCUCGUAGUUGAACCUUGGGCCUGGCUGGCAGGUCCGCCUCACCGCGUGUACUUGACCGGCCGGGCCUUCUCUUCUGGAGAACCUCAUGCCCUUCACUGGGUGUGCUGGGGACCAGGACUUUUACUUUGAAAAAAUUAGAGUGUUCAAAGCAGGCCUUUGCUCGAAUACGUUAGCAUGGAAUAAUAGAAUAGGACGUGCGGUCCUAUUUUGUUGGUUUCUAGGACCGCCGUAAUGAUUAAUAGGGACAGUCGGGGGCAUCAGUAUUCAAUUGUCAGAGGUGAAAUUCUUGGAUUUAUUGAAGACUAACUACUGCGAAAGCAUUUGCCAAGGAUGUUUUCAUUAAUCAGUGAACGAAAGUUAGGGGAUCGAAGACGAUCAGAUACCGUCGUAGUCUUAACCAUAAACUAUGCCGACUAGGGAUCGGGCGAUGUUUCAAUAUUGACUCGCUCGGCACCUUACGAGAAAUCAAAGUGUU